UGAUGAUAGCAUGUGCGCGUGC
rnacentral:misc_RNA from 1 species